rnacentral:guide_RNA from 1 species
AUGUGAUAUAUAAACAAAACAACAAAGAAUCGAGAGUUAACGUUGAAUGAUUAAAGUGUG